CCUACGGGAGGCAGCAGUGAGGAAUAUUGGUCAAUGGGCGGAAGCCUGAACCAGCCAAGUAGCGUGCGGGAUGAAGGCCCUACGGGUCGUAAACCGCUUUUGCACGGGGAUAACACCCUCCACUUGUGGAGGUCUGCAGGUACCGUGCGAAUAAGGGCCGGCUAAUUCCGUGCCAGCAGCCGCGGUAAUACGGAAGGCCCGAGCGUUAUCCGGAUUCAUUGGGCUUAAAGGGAGCGUAGGCGGGCGUUCAAGUCAGCUGUAAAAUCGCGCGGCUCAACCGCGCCCCGCAGUUGAAACUGGACGCAUUGAGUUCACAACAGGCAGGCGGAAGUCGUGGGGUAGCGGUGAAAUGCAGAGAUAUCACGAGGAACCCCGAUUGCGAAGGCAGCCUGCCGGGGUGCGACUGACGCUGAGUCUCGAAGGUGCGGGUAUCAAACAGGAUUAGAUACCCGAGUAGUC
rnacentral:rRNA from 1 species